rnacentral:rRNA from 1 species
GUGGGGAAUAUUGGACAAUGGGCGCAAGCCUGAUCCAGCCAUACCGCGUGGGUGAAGAAGGCCUUCGGGUUGUAAACUGCUUUUGUACGGAACGAAAAGACUCCUUCUAAUAAAGGGGGUCCAUGACGGUACCGUAAGAAUAAGCACCGGCUAACUACGUGCCAGCAGCCGCGGUAAUACGUAGGGUGCAAGCGUUAAUCGGAAUUACUGGGCGUAAAGCGUGCGCAGGCGGUUAUAUAAGACAGAUGUGAAAUCCCCGGGCUCAACCUGGGAACUGCAUUUGUGACUGUAUAGCUAGAGUACGGUAGAGGGGGAUGGAAUUCCGCGUGUAGCAGUGAAAUGCGUAGAUAUGCGGAGGAACACCGAUGGCGAAGGCAAUCCCCUGGACCUGUACUGACGCUCAUGCAGGAAAGCGUGGGGAGCAAACAGGAUUAGAAACCCCAGUAGUCC